GAUGAACGCUGGCGGCGUGCCUAAUACAUGCAAGUCGAGCGAACAGACGAGGAGCUUGCUCCUCUGACGUUAGCGGCGGACGGGUGAGUAACACGUGGAUAACCUACCUAUAAGACUGGGAUAACUUCGGGAAACCGGAGCUAAUACCGGAUAAUAUAUUGAACCGCAUGGUUCAAUAGUGAAAGACGGUUUUGCUGUCACUUAUAGAUGGAUCCGCGCCGCAUUAGCUAGUUGGUAAGGUAACGGCUUACCAAGGCAACGAUGCGUAGCCGACCUGAGAGGGUGAUCGGCCACACUGGAACUGAGACACGGUCCAGACUCCUACGGGAGGCAGCAGUAGGGAAUCUUCCGCAAUGGGCGAAAGCCAGACGGAGCAGCGCCGCGUGAGUGAUGAAGGUCUUCGGAUCGUAAAACUCUGUUAUUAGGGAAGAACAAAUGUGUAAGUAACUAUGCACGUCUUGACGGUACCUAAUCAGAAAGCCACGGCUAACUACGUG
rnacentral:rRNA from 1 species